rnacentral:snoRNA from 1 species
UACGAGUAUGAAUGAUGUUAUAUAAACAACGAAUUUCUUCACCUGAAAGACCAUGUGGAGCAUUUUUGACAGAGCUUUUUAACCCUGACU